AGCAUUGACAAUGGAUAUCUCAGCUGUACAAACGAUGAAGAACAUUGCAUAAUGUGAAAAGUGACAGGAAUUAUUUACGUUGUGACUGUUCAAUUUUCGAAUGCACAUGAAUUCAUUCUUUGUUAAAGAAAUGAUGCCUUUAAUAUAGUAGCCCCA
rnacentral:rRNA from 1 species